GGCCAGGCUUCUUGCACAGGACAGCCUGCCCUUCUGGGCUGGCCCUGCUUAUUCUCCACAUAGCUUUCUCAGUUCCUACCUAGAAGUACAGCGUGGAAGAGGACAGCCUGGGUCAUGGGUCUCAGAAGUUUUAAGCAUAUAUGGAAAAUGCGCCCCUGCCAAGAGUGAUUGCCGGGCACCCUUGACUGUGUGUCUUAUCUGUAUUUCAGAGAUGCUAAAAUGAAAAGCUCUAUGGAUAAGCAAAACACAAGACAUAUUGCAAAAAGGCAGGCUUUUGGACUCAGACUGGAACUACACCACUAGCUUUCUUGGGUCUCCAGCUUGCUACUGUAUACCUCUGGAUUUUUCAGCCUUCAUGAGGGCCCAGAAAACCGCAAGAACCUUUUGUUUGGGGCUCCCUUGAUGGUGAGAAGACGGCCACAUCUGUGCAGAGCUGCCUGAACCUGGACUAGGACUCCACUCCAUGGGAAGCGGGGAGCAAGGAGUCACUGCUUCCUCGGCUUGAGUUCUGGCUUCCUGGGCCCAUAGAGGGAGGAAAGGUGUGCCUAUGUUUGUCCUGUUGCUGUAACUGACCACCUGCCCCUGCGGGCUCAGCCCUCUCCAGUUCAGCGAAUCCUAACACCACCAAGCUGUCCUUUCUCUUCUGAUAACUUGGCUAUUCCAAGACGUCGUUUAUCAAAAUUAUGGACUUGCCCAGGUGUAAAUUAGUAGGAAAGCAAGCGUCUAGGUUUACUUCUAAUCUAUUUGUUUUAUAAAACUCGUAGUCUUUUUUUAAGUUCAAAGUACCCUAAAUUAUUUUUUCCUGGUAAAUAUAGUCUCUUGAACAUCUAAAUUUUCUCUCAGAAGGGAAAUCUAAGUGAAGUCAUUAAAUGGAAAUAAAACAAAAAAGAGAGUUCCAGGGAAUAUAAAUAAAUUAAUUAAAAAUUAUUAUUCUGGCUUUAAAGAAAUGAUUCCUCUGACAAAGCUCAUUUAAAUUAAUACUAUUGUUAUUAAUGAGGUCGUUUAUUCAUAAAAUAAAUAUGCUGAAAAUAAAAACAUAACAUUUUGUGUAGUCAAAUUUGAACAAUACAAAUAAAACAAUGAAAUUUGAAGUAUUACUUUCAUUUGUGGCCAGGGAAAGGAUUGACAAUUUAUUGGUAAUAUAAUGCUUCAGUUAAUUUUAUACAAACGGGAUAGCCUGGAGAUUAAAAGCCAGGACUCAAAAAUCAAAGUGCCUCUGUACAAGUCCCAGCUCUGCCCUGUCCUAGCUACGUGAGUUGGAGUCCUCCUACAGCCCACCCCAUCUCUCUGUCUAGAGCACAAAGUCAUUCCGCUUUCCUGGUCAGGUGCGUAUGAGCAAUAGGUUAGUUACAGUUUAUGCAAGUGCUGAAAUCAUUUGUUUAAUAAAUUAACUACUUUAUUUGGAGCAAAAACUUUUUGUCUUUCUGUACAGAGAUGGGAUUCAGGACAGGCUACUCCAAAAUAUGAACCUUGGCAUUUGAGAAAACAGCAAAAGCAAGAAGGUCACUCUCAGCCUUCCCUCACCCUUUCUUCCCUGAAGCAGAUCUUAAAGCCUGAAUUCCAGGGGUGCUGUCCCUGUAGCUGGAGGGAAGGAAUGAAUCUGAACAAACAGGACUUGCUAAGUUCCCCCAAUUUGUUGCCAUCAGAUCCUGCCUUUUUAUCCAAUCAUACUACUCUAUGACUUCUUAAUCAAACCUAGCAUGAAAAAUAUACAGGUUUGUUCAUUUUUUGAGUCUUUCUUUCUGAAGGUUCUGUUUCAUCUAAAACAUGUCAAAUAAACAUGCAUGCUUUUGUCUUGUGAAUCUGUCUUUUGUUAUAGGUGUGUCUGCCAUGAAUCUUGAGGUGGGUGAGGAAUAAAGAUACCUCAUGACAGAAACAUGCUUGAGUCUAGUUUUCUGGUAUUUUGUGUUCUCCAGAGGAGACACUGGGUGCUCCAAAGUCAAGUU